AUUGAACGCUGGCGGCAGGCCUAACACGUGCAAGUCGAGCGGAUGAGUGGAGCUUGCUCCAUGAUUCAGCGGCGGACGGGUGAGUAAUGCCUAGGAAUCUGCCUGGUAGUGGGGGACAACGUUUCGAAAGGAACGCUAAUACCCAUACGUCCUACGGGAGAAAGUGGGGGAUCUUCGGACCUCACGCUAUCAGAUGAGCCUAGGUCGGAUUAGCUAGUUGGUGAGGUAAAGGCUCACCAAGGCGACGAUCCGUAACUGGUCUGAGAGGAUGAUCAGUCACACUGGAACUGAGACACGGUCCAGACUCCUACGGGAGGCAGCAGUGGGGAAUAUUGGACAAUGGGCGAAAGCCUGAUCCAGCCAUGCCGCGUGUGUGAAGAAGGUCUUCGGAUUGUAAAGCACUUUAAGUUGGGAGGAAGGGCAGUAAGUUAAUACCUUGCUGUUUUGACGUUACCAACAGAAUAAGCACCGGCUAACUUCGUGCCAGCCGCCGCCGUAAGAC
rnacentral:rRNA from 1 species